AGUUGGGUACAGAAUUUAAAUGGCUGUAUUUCUACCUUCUCCACCAGGGUGACUGUGGGAACCUGGAACAGGAUGUCAAAGCAGGUGAUGAGGCCAAACCUCCCAGCAAAAGGUCUACACUUCACCUGAAAACCACAUUGGUGUUGAACUGCCAGCGUCCGUCAGAGGGACAGCAGGAGGAGGGGUCGGUCUGCAGGGGGCAGGGCUGCAGGUCAGCCAUGUUGGCCACCAGGUAGAGGUUGUUACGCCGGGCAAUACAGCUCAACUGCUGGAGGACCUGUGAAACACAACCAUGGGUUCCAGCUCUCCUGCUGGGGGUCAGGAAUGGUUUCUAGAUAACCAGAGAUGGAUGAACGGCUGAAGUUGAAACCCUGCAGGCCAUCUUCUGGAAACACCAGGAUCUGGGCACCCUGACCAAUAGAACAUGAAGGCAGAGAGACUUAAUUACUGUAGUCGUGACCUCUGUGACAUUAAAUGUACUUCCUAAUAUGGGUGUAAGGAGAAAGCCAACUUCUCCUGAUGACUGAGUUUACUUGGGAACAACACUGACUCCUUUGCAGUAAUAUCUGCCUGCCAUCAUGACAAUCAUGCCAUCACAAGGAAUUACCUUUUUUAUUUAAUUAUCCUGACUGCUUUUUAGUUAUCCACUGAUCAAACAGAAACUGAUUAUUAAAUUUACUCUUGUCUGAUUAUGAUACAAGAUCAGGUAACUGUUAAAUAUUUUGCAAUGGCAGUGACCGACUUUAUUUAAGGGGUCCAAGGACCAACACAAUGACAAGUCUGAGAUUAAAAUGAACAAUACUGUGA